rnacentral:lncRNA from 1 species
UAUAUAUCCUGGAUAGGUGCACCUUUGAAUCACAUCAAAUCGCGAGGUUGAGGAAGCAGGACGGUAAAGGACAGUAAGGCCAGACAACUGAGCUGUUAGACAAACAGACAGAUAGUCAGACAUAAAGACAGACAGAAGACAACAUAUGGCCUAUGAGGACAAACUUUGACAGACAAAGGAUGCUUCCAUUACUGGUUAUAGCUCUGCUGGGGUUCUCCACAGAACCAGCCUCUGCACUGCCUUGCACUCAGAUCUCUCUCUCCAAGACCCUUCCCUCCUCAGCUCACAGUGUCAGACCCUCAGAUGUGGCUGUGCUCUCUGCCAUUGGACUUCCCCACACACACAGGUAA